rnacentral:hammerhead_ribozyme from 1 species
AUCCAGCUGAUGAGUCCCAAAUUGGACGAAAUGAGCGUCAAACUGGAU